CUGAGUACGGCGGAACACGUGAAAUUCCGUCGGAAUCCGGGAGGACCAUCUCCCAAGGCUAAAUACUCCCUAGUGACCGAUAGUGAACCAGUACCGUGAGGGAAAGGUGAAAAGCACCCCGGAAGGGGAGUGAAACAGUUCCUGAAACCGUGUGCCUACAAGUAGUUAGAGCCCGUUAAUGGGUGAUAGCGUGCCUUUUGUAGAAUGAACCGGCGAGUUACGAUUUGUUGCAAGGUUAAGCGGAAAAAGCGGAGCCGUAGCGAAAGCGAGUCUGAAUAGGGCGCAUAAGUAACAGGUCGUAGACCCGAAACCAGGUGAUCUACCCAUGUCCAGGAUGAAGGUAAGGUAAUACUUACUGGAGGUCCGAACCCACGCACGUUGAAAAGUGCGGGGAUGAGGUGUGGGUAGCGGAGAAAUUCCAAUCGAACUUGGAGAUAGCUGGUUCUCUCCGAAAUAGCUUUAGGGCUAGCCUCGAGGUAAAGAGUCAUGGAGGUAGAGCACUGUUUGGACUAGGGGCCCUUCUCGGGUUACCGAAUUCAGAUAAACUCCGAAUGCCAUGUACUUAUACUCGGGAGUCAGACUGCGAGUGAUAAGAUCCGUAGUCGAAAGGGAAACAGCCCAGACCACCAGUUAAGGUCCCCAAAUAUAUGUUAAGUGGAAAAGGAUGUGGGGUUGCUUAGACAACCAGGAUGUUGGCUUAGAAGCAGCCACCAUUGAAAGAGUGCGUAAUAGCUCACUGGUCGAGUGACCCCGCGCCGAAAAUGUACCGGGGCUAAACAUAUUACCGAAACUGUGGAUGAACCUCUUUAGAGGUUCGUGGUAGGAGAGCGUUCUAAGGGCGGUGAAGUCAGACCGGAAGGACUGGUGGAGCGCUUAGAAGUGAGAAUGCCGGUAUGAGUAGCGAAAGAAGGGUGAGAAUCCCUUCCACCGAAUAUCUAAGGUUUCCUGAGGAAGGCUCGUCCGCUCAGGGUUAGUCGGGACCUAAGCCGAGGCCGAUAGGCGUAGGCGAUGGACAACAGGUAGAGAUUCCUGUACCAGUGCUAAUUGUUUAACCGAUGGGGUGACACAGAAGGAUAGGGAAUCGCACGAAUGGAAAUGUGCGUCCAAGCAGUGAGUGUGAGAAGUAGGCAAAUCCGCUUCUCGCGAAGCAUGAGCUGUGAUGGGGAAGGAAAUUAAGUACGGAAGUUCCUGAUUUCACGCUGUCAAGAAAAGCCUCUAGGAAGAGUAGUACUGCCCGUACCGCAAACCGACACAGGUAGAUGAGGAGAGAAUCCUAAGGUGAGCGAGAGAACUCUCGUUAAGGAACUCGGCAAAAUGACCCCGUAACUUCGGGAGAAGGGGUGCUCUAUUAGGGUGCAAGCCCGAGAGAGCCGCAGUGAAUAGGCCCAGGCGACUGUUUAGCAAAAACACAGGUCUCUGCAAAACCGUAAGGUGACGUAUAGGGGCUGACGCCUGCCCGGUGCUGGAAGGUUAAGAGGAGUGCUUAGCUUCGGCGAAGGUACGAAUUGAAGCCCCAGUAAACGGCGGCCGUAACUAUAACGGUCCUAAGGUAGCGAAAUUCCUUGUCGGGUAAGUUCCGACCCGCACGAAAGGCGCAACGAUCUGGGCACUGUCUCAACGAGAGACUCGGUGAAAUUAUAGUACCUGUGAAGAUGCAGGUUACCCGCGACAGGACGGAAAGACCCCGUGGAGCUUUACUGCAACCUGAUAUGGAAUGUUUGUACCGCUUGUACAGGAUAGGUAGGAGCCGAAGAGACGUGUGCGCUAGCAUACGAGGAGGCAAUGGUGGGAUACUACCCUGGCUGUAUGACCAUUCUAACCCGCCACGCUUAGCGCGUGGGGAGACAGUGUCAGGUGGGCAGUUUGACUGGGGCGGUCGCCUCCUAAAGAGUAACGGAGGCGCCCAAAGGUUCCCUCAGAAUGGAUGGAAAUCAUUCGCAGAGUGUAAAGGCACAAGGGAGCUUGACUGCGAGACUGACAAGUCGAGCAGGGACGAAAGUCGGGCUUAGUGAUCCGGUGGUUCCGCAUGGAAGGGCCAUCGCUCAACGGAUAAAAGCUACCCCGGGGAUAACAGGCUUAUCUCCCCCAAGAGUCCACAUCGACGGGGAGGUUUGGCACCUCGAUGUCGGCUCGUCGCAUCCUGGGGCUGUAGUCGGUCCCAAGGGUUGGGCUGUUCGCCCAUUAAAGCGGCACGCGAGCUGGGUUCAGAACGUCGUGAGACAGUUCGGUCCCUAUCCGUCGCGGGCGCAGGAAAUUUGAGAGGAGCUGUCCUUAGUACGAGAGGACCGGGAUGGACACACCGCUGGUGUACCAGUUGUUCCGCCAGGAGCAUCGCUGGGUAGCUAUGUGUGGCAGGGAUAAACGCUGAAAGCAUCUAAGCGUGAAGCCCCCCUCAAGAUGAGAUUUCCCAUUUCUU
rnacentral:rRNA from 1 species